UCGUAACAAGGUCUCCGUUGGUGAACCAGCGGAGGGAUCAUUACCGAGUUUACAACUCCCAAACCCCUGUGAACAUACCUUAUGUUGCCUCGGCGGAUCAGCCCGCGCCCCGUAAAAAGGGACGGCCCGCCGCAGGAACCCUAAACUCUGUUUUUAGUGGAACUUCUGAGUAUAAAAAACAAAUAAAUCAAAACUUUCAACAACGGAUCUCUUGGUUCUGGCAUCGAUGAAGAACGCAGCAAAAUGCGAUAAGUAAUGUGAAUUGCAGAAUUCAGUGAAUCAUCGAAUCUUUGAACGCACAUUGCGCCCGCCAGUAUUCUGGCGGGCAUGCCUGUUCGAGCGUCAUUUCAACCCUCAAGCCCAGCUUGGUGUUGGGAGCUGCAGUCCUGCUGCACUCCCCAAAUACAUUGGCGGUCACGUCGAGCUUCCAUAGCGUAGUAAUUUACAUAUCGUUACUGGUAAUCGUCGCGGCCACGCCGUUAAACCCCAACUUCUGAAUGUUGACCUCGGAUCAGGUAGGAAUACCCGCUGAACUUAAGCAUAUCA
rnacentral:ncRNA from 2 species